ensembl:lncRNA MEG3 maternally expressed 3
CGGAGAGCAGAGAGGGAGCGCGCCUUGGCUCGCUGGCCUUGGCGGCGGCUCCUCAGGAGAGCUGGGGCGCCCACGAGAGGAUCCCUCACCCGGGUCUCUCCUCAGGGAUGACAUCAUCCGUCCACCUCCUUGUCUUCAAGGACCACCUCCUCUCCAUGCUGAGCUGCUGCCAAGGGGCCUGCUGCCCAUCUACACCUCACGAGGGCACUAGGAGCACGGUUUCCUGGAUCCCACCAACAUACAAAGCAGCCACUCACUGACCCCCAGGACCAGGAUGGCAAAGGAUGAAGAGGACCGGAACUGACCAGCCAGCUGUCCCUCUUACCUAAAGACUUAAACCAAUGCCCUAGUGAGGGGGCAUUGGGCAUUAAGCCCUGACCUUUGCUAUGCUCAUACUUUGACUCUAUGAGUACUUUCCUAUAAGUCUUUGCUUGUGUUCACCUGCUAGCAAACUGGAGUGUUUCCCUCCCCAAGGGGGUGUCAGUCUUUGUCGACUGACUCUGUCAUCACCCUUAUGAUGUCCUGAAUGGAAGGAUCCCUUUGGGAAAUUCUCAGGAGGGGGACCUGGGCCAAGGGCUUGGCCAGCAUCCUGCUGGCAACUCCAAGGCCCUGGGUGGGCUUCUGGAAUGAGCAUGCUACUGAAUCACCAAAGGCACGCCCGACCUCUCUGAAGAUCUUCCUAUCCUUUUCUGGGGGAAUGGGGUCGAUGAGAGCAACCUCCUAGGGUUGUUGUGAGAAUUAAAUGAGAUAAAAGAGGCCUCAGGCAGGAUCUGGCAUAGAGGAGGUGAUCAGCAAAUGUUUGUUGAAAAGGUUUGACAGGUCAGUCCCUUCCCACCCCUCUUGCUUGUCUUACUUGUCUUAUUUAUUCUCCAACAGCACUCCAGGCAGCCCUUGUCCACGGGCUCUCCUUGCAUCAGCCAAGCUUCUUGAAAGGCCUGUCUACACUUGCUGUCUUCCUUCCUCACCUCCAAUUUCCUCUUCAACCCACUGCUUCCUGACUCGCUCUACUCCGUGGAAGCACGCUCACAAAGGGCUAAUCUCGGGCCUUGUCGAAGGAAGAGGCUGCAGACGUUAAUGAGGUUAGCUGCUGGAUUCCAGUAUUCGUCGCAUAAGGAUCCUUCUUUGUCUGCGAAGGAAAAACACACUGAUUAUCAUAAUGAGGCACGUGGGCCGUGGCCCGGCUGGGUCGGCUGAAGAACUGCGGAUGGAAGCUGCGGAAGAGGCCCUGAUGGGGCCCACCAUCCCGGACCCAAGUCUUCUUCCUGGCGGGCCUCUCGUCUCCUUCCUGGUUUGGGCGGAAGCCAUCACCUGGAUGCCUACGUGGGAAGGGACCUCGAAUGUGGGACCCCAGCCCCUCUCCAGCUCGAAAUCCCUCCACAGCCACGGGGACACCCUGCACCUAUUCCCACGGGACAGGCUGGACCCAGAGACUCUGGACCCGGGGCCUCCCCUUGAGUAGAGACCCGCCCUCUGACUGAUGGACGCCGCUGACCUGGGGUCAGACCCGUGGGCUGGACCCCUGCCCACCCCGCAGGAACCCUGAGGCCUAGGGGAGCUGUUGAGCCUUCAGUGUCUGCAUGUGGGAAGUGGGCUCCUUCACCUACCUCACAGGGCUGUUGUGAGGGGCGCUGUGAUGCGGUUCCAAAGCACAGGGCUUGGCGCACCCCACUGUGCUCUCAAUAAAUGUGU